CCCUUCGGGGUGAGUGGCGCACGGGUGCGUAACGCGUGGGAACCUGCCUUUAGGUUCGGAAUAACUCAGAGAAAUUUGAGCUAAUACCGGAUAAUGUCUUCGGACCAAAGAUUUAUCGCCUUUAGAUGGGCCCGCGUUAGAUUAGAUAGUUGGUGGGGUAACGGCCUACCAAGUCGACGAUCUAUAGCUGGUCUGAGAGGAUGAUCAGCCACACUGGGACUGAGACACGGCCCAGACUCCUACGGGAGGCAGCAGUGGGGAAUAUUGGACAAUGGGCGAAAGCCUGAUCCAGCAAUGCCGCGUGAGUGAUGAAGGCCUUAGGGUUGUAAAGCUCUUUUACCAGGGAUGAUAAUGACAGUACCUGGAGAAUAAGCUCCGGCUAACUCCGUGCCRGCAGCCGCGGUAAUACGGAGGGAGGCUAGUGUUGUUCGRAAUUACUGGGCGUAAAGCGCGCGUAGGCGGUUAUCCAAGUCAGGGGUGAAAUCCCGGAGCU
rnacentral:rRNA from 1 species